GUGGGGAUAGCUCCGUCAGACUGAAAAUCUGAAGGCCGCAUGUUCGAUCCACGCUCACCCCA
rfam:Selaginella moellendorffii unplaced genomic scaffold SELMOscaffold_0, whole genome shotgun sequence.